GAGGGUAUAGCUCAGUGGUAGAAAGCAUGCUUAGCAUGCAGGAGGUCCUGGGUUCAAUCCCUAGUACCUCCA
rnacentral:tRNA from 1 species